ACGACCGGGAGAAGGAAGUGGAACUGCGGUUUCCUUUUAAAAAAAAUGUGUACUUUUACCGCUGAUUCUGGCGUUACAGAAUUAUCAAAAUGCAUGGGUGUGCUUUGAGCUGUGUGCGUUUCUUUUUUUAAUUCGAUCUUUAACGCUCGUUCAUUUAAGUGAUCGAUCAUUUGCCUGUCAGAGUUCCACCGCUGUGUUUCCAGGGGAUCGUAUAGGAGACGGACUUGUAAACAUUUGCAACAUGUUGCGCUGUCUAGAUGAGCUGGCCUUGCUGCUGCCAGACGUGAAAGCUACGGGCAUGAGUUUAGGAAAUGUGAUAGGAGUUCGGUUUAGCGAGGUUACCUGAACACACAGCUCCUGCCUGUGGUAUUAGCCCUUCUAGUUUUUUACUGAUACUUGUGUGUUAAUGUGCUAAUUAAGUCGACAGAACAGCAUUUAGUGGAGAUAUGAAAUUACUCUUUCUUGCUCCACUCAGCCCUAAAACCGGGAACCACACUACAGCUGAGAGAAUAAGGUCCCACAUUGAAUUAGCAGGACACACUUGCGAGCUCAGAGAUGCUGGAGAAUUCCAGUCUCCUGCUGAUGUGGCCGAUCUGUUAUCAGGAAAUCCUUCAUUUCAGGCUGCACUGGCCAUUCAUCUGUUCAAAGCAGGCAGACUUCUCUUAGACGUCCAAGUGCCCUUUGGCGUCAUCUUUGGCGGAACAGACAUAAAUGAAGAUGUGAAAGUUGAGCAGAAGCGUGUGGUUAUGGAGCAGGUGCUGCUGAGAGCCAGGUUUGCUGUUGCAUUUACUGACAAACUGAAAGAAGAGGCAGAAAUAUUUUUGGUGCCCCAGAGCAGUAAAAUCUUUGUCCAACCCCAAGGAAUUCAGACAGAAGUGACUGAAACAUUCUGCUGGACUGAAUUCUUGAGGAGCUCAGGUGUAAGGAGUAAGAACGUGGAUGAGCUGCGUGUCUUCCUAUUGGUCUGUGGCCUCAGAAGAGUCAAGGACCCCCUCUAUUUGGUGGAGGAUUUUUCAGAGUGGCAUUGUGAGAAUAUGCAGAACAUAUUGGUCAUUAUCGGGCCAAAGAUUGAUCCUGUGUUUACCGCUGAAGUGGAAGCUGUUGUUAAAAGAACAGCAGGGGUCUUCUUGGCCCAAGAGAUGAGCCAACAGGAGCUUCAUGCUGCCAUGAAAAGGUGCUUCGCCGUGGUCAACAGCUCUGUCUCAGAGGGCAUGUCAGCAGCCAUCUUGGAGGCCAUGGAUCUCAGGGUACCUGUGGUGGCCAGGGAUAUUCCAGGAAAUGCAGCUGUGGUGCAGCAUGAGGUCACUGGCCUGCUGUACUCUUCUCCUCAGAUUCCAACUAGUAACUUGGGCCAGUGUUAAUCAAAGCAGUAGUUUGGAUUACCUGGACGGUAGUGGUCCCAAGGUCUCGCCCUGAAAGCACCCUUCCUGCUUGUAGUCUUGCCACCCGUGGGUCCUCCACCUUCAUGAAGUAUCGAACCAACCUUGUGACAUCCACCUGCCAAUCAGACCCCAGGAAAUAGGCCUUAGGGUCCCGAGGAUCUGCCUGCUCUGCCACGAAAUAGCUAAAAACACUGACUGGAAAGUUGUGGGAGUUUGCCAUUACAUGCAGUGGACGUAUUGAGUAGCAGCAGUGGCGGGAGUUCAUUGAGCAAGGCUAAGAGCGAUCAGUCAGCACUAAUGUCCCCUUGAGCCAACCAUCAAAUCUCCUCGUGUUUGGCCUUCUGCCUGAGCUCCCCUUGUGGAAAAAGAAAUAAAUAAAACCCCCUUGCGACUGGAAGAGGCGUUUUUCUUCUGAGCGGUUGGGAGAGCGAACCAGUGUCCGUGGGUUUAGUUAGCAGGCCCCAAGGAGGCAGCGGGGCAGGGGGAGGCAACGGGGCACAGAAGAUGGAUGGCUGCGGAGACCCAAGCUGACACUGUGUGAGAAAUUCAGCGCUCAGGUGCUGCACCUGCUAUCCAUCUCACUUCUGACCAGGCCGGGCGUGAGUGGCACCUUUCACCUUUUACGCACUCUUCAUCCACUCGCACGCUCGUGCAUGCACGCAAAAAAAAAAUGUUACCACAUAAGAGAACGUACACAAAUACACUCAAAGCAGACCUCAAUGGAGUACUCCUUAAAGUUAGAUUGACUGAUCACAGAGACACGGCCAGCGCAGAAAAUAAAACAAAGAAACUAUUUAAGCCUGGUCCACAUAUAUUACGUCACCAAGGCUGCUAUUGAGAUGCUACAGAGGGUUUGUAAUUGCAUCCCUGAUACAAUUUGUGGUCCCGUCUUUACCUUUGUGAAAGCAUCACUGCAGGGCCUCGGCACCACCAGUGAAUCCAGUGCAAUCAGAAACAGAUGCAGUCGUUAAUUAUGCAGGCAAAUGUCCACCGUUUAGCCAGUCUGAUGGCCAGCCAUCGGCAACGUGCUUAUCGUACUUAUGGAGCAGUUUAGGGAGUUGGGGAAACAUUCACGCCAACACUCCUGCCAGAUGGCAGGCGCCACAGCGCUAAAAAAAGGAUGUAAAAGCCCUAUUUGUCACACAGAUGAAUGAUUAGGCUCCCUGGUUGAAAAGCUCACUGACACGGUGUCCUGUAGAUGCAGAAGCUCAAUGUUAAUUUGCUGCCCCUAUGCUGCCUUUAAGUUAAUCCCUCAGAACGAGGCAAACUACUGUGCCUCAUCGCUCAAAAUUAAUGGCUUCUAAAAAAAAAACAACACAAAAAAAAAACAUACGUGCCACUCAAGUUCCUGAGGUCUAAUUGUCCUUCCUGUGGCAGUGAUAACGGCAGCACAAUGUGUUUUUCUAUGACCUUUAUCAAAGUCUCAGGGAGAACGACAGCUUCGUUUUAUUGAAACGGACAGGUGUGGCUUGUCUUUUUCUCAGCUGACCUCAAAUUUGUACGUCUCCUGACUCUAGCUAUACACAUCAAUUACAGGUUUAUCAUGCUGAUGUUAAGAGUAUUAAGCAAAGCCUAAUGAAACAUUCAGACAGUGAUAAAGCGCGUAGACAGCUGUUGAGAAGCAGAUGCACCGCGCCUGUUAAUGUGCUGAUAAGCCGGGGAAGGGCGACACUCCGCUACUGCCUAUGUCACUUAAAGGAACAGCGAGUAUAUGAUGUUUAUGGGAUACGAACUGUAUAAAUGUCAUUACCCAUCACAAGUUUAAAUACUAACAAGCUUCCUAGAAAGAAAGAAAGAAAGAAAGAAAGAAAGAAAGAAAGAAAG